AAAAAGGAGACUAAUACGCCUCUGAUUUAACCCAGGCUAAGACAUCCGUGUCAUACGAUGCUCGGUAACUAAUAGGGAUAUCCCGUAUCCUGGUAUUGCAUCACUUAAAUAAAGGAAUGUUACAAUCAACGGACCGGAUUCACAUGGAAGUUGGAGCCAAGAUGUUUCCUUAAACGGGGCCGUUGAUCUGGGAUGCGCUGGUGACGUUAAACCAAAUGACCACAUUGGUGACCAGUCAAAUAGUUUGCGAACGUUAGCGUCGAUUGCUGUUACCGAACACGGUGAAGACUUGAAUAGAAACAAAAUUGAAGUGAAUGAUUUCAAUCGGCGGAGCUCCCCAACGACGGAACCACAGUGCAGUUCACUUCUGGUACUAACCAACACGAGCUCAGCGGCGGGUCAAGGAAUCGUUGGUGUGUGUGACAUGAAAACUUGUU